UCCUCAGAGAGUGAUGUACCGCCAUCGCCCUCAUCAUGGUCGCUACCGUCUGACCAUGUUCUUGGUCCCUCCCUUCGCACACAGUGAGAACCCCAAACAAGUAUCUCACCAGGCUUCCUAAGGUGAGGGGCCCCUUCCUCGUUCCCACCUUCUCCCACUCAGGGACGGCCCACCCCGGAGUAGCCAAGCCUUGGUUUGUCAGGAAGUCCCUGGAUGUCUGAUCUCAGCUAUCCCUGCGGUGUGGAGGCCCCACCGGAAGAGAAGCAAGGACCACGGAGUGUGGAGCUCAGGGAGGGAGAGCGAGACCCAAAGAGAAACAAACAGAGACAAAGAGAGAAAGCCCAAGAGAAUCAACGUCCCUUCCGGAAACUUCUUUAAAGGGGAAUCUUUCACUUCCUUAAAGGAUGGUCACUGCGGUUUCCACCCGACACGCAUGAGGAAGUUCUUGGAGUCUAGCCACCAUCUCUACAGCUGCAGCUAGUAUCAGGACCCCUCACCGUGAAAUCUUCCUAGAAGUCUGAUCGGGAAAGCAGAAGACCGUGGAAACUUCUUUGGCUGAGGUGGUAGGGCCUCCCGUCCCUCACCCCUCCCACCCCUCCCACCCUGCCUGUGGCAGCAUCUAAGUGGGACCGGGGGAGGCCACAAAGUCUUGUUUGAAAACCACUGCUUUAAACACUUG